AGUUCCGUAUCAGUAGAUUGCAAAUCUAGAAUAUGUCGAUUAAUUUUCACCGGGGCUU
rnacentral:tRNA from 1 species